ACACAGACGCGCGCACGAGAUGUUCACACAGCACACACAUCCCGUCCGUGCGCACGGUGCAGUGACAAGUCCUGCGAGCUUCUUGUCGAGCGCAGGCAUGCCGUCCGUGCGUCACCUCGCCCGUGGAUAGGGGUCGCACACUGUGCAUGUGCCAUCCACUCCUGGGGUUUGCGUGCACAACACCUAGCGCGCCUAGGCCCUUCGCGCAUGCAAGCUAGCCCCUGUGCGCAGGGCAGUAGGCCUGUGUGUCUGCAGUCCGCCAGCCAGGGCACUGCCACCUCGGGAAGUGCACUACUAGCGCAUCGGGCAGCGCACUACCGCUGCCGGUGGAGGAGGCCCUCCUCCUUUAUUUUUUGUGCUGAACAUCUUUUUCUCCUAUCUCUUCACCAAAUUUUGCCACUUUGUGCAAAUUUGACUUUUCUAAAAUUUUAUAAAUAGGUCUUCCAACCCCAU
rnacentral:lncRNA from 1 species